CGGGGAUUAGCGCAGUGGUAGCGCGCUCGCUUUGGGAGCGAGAGGCCGGCAGUUCGAAUCUGCCAUCCCCGACCA
rnacentral:tRNA from 2 species